ACCCGUCUUAUGUCGUCUUGCUCUCGCGUAGUUUUGUACCAUGUGACAUGGUAACGCGCGGGGACGUUUUGCAUUGUCAUCUGACCAUCUAACCAUGAUGCAUUGCGUCACGACCAGAAUGCAUUGCUUUAAGCGGCUGCAUGAAGUCGAACGCAACUCAUGUUACCUUUUUCACGGAUCGCGAACCACAUAACAGCUUAUCAGGAUGCCGAUGGCACCGUUAACGGCCUGGCCUGCCUGUCCGGCGAUUGUGCCCCUGGCUUCUGCUGUCGCUUGUAAACUCUUGGUCCCAUUCCAUGAAACUCCAGUGGCCAGGCCAGCGGUUCCCCUGCAUUGUGC